ACUUUACGUAAUGGUUGUUUAUCUCUGAUAUGCAGUAGAAAUAAUGCAGAGAGAUACAUUGUGUUUGUGUAAUGUGUAGUGCUACAAUGUUUAUGUAAGUGUGUGUUUUACAAACAUUAUGCAGUGGUGUGGUUUCUGUACGCUGUCUUUUAAAGCAUGUGUCACAUUUUGGAGUUGGACAUGAAUCAGAACCCCCUGAAGUAUAGGUGGGAUGUCAAUUGGGAGACCUCUCUAAGAAUAUAUUUCUAGUAUGAAGGAAGAAAUUUCUUUCCUAUAAGAUGAUCAGCUAGUUGGAGUUUUUACCUCGUUCACUUUGAGAGGUCCUAGGUCCCAGGGGCUGCAAAAGAUCUAGCAUCAGCAGUCAAAACAGCUCUAGCAUGCAGCAACAGGGGAAGCCACGGUUUCUUAGAUAUCAUCAAGGAAGUGUUCGUGGUGUUGCCUUCAGUCCCAGGCAGUGCACAUUUGUUUCACACGAUGUGGAAGUUAAUGUGGCGGUAAUCUCUCGAAUGUCGAGGAACAAUAUAGUAAAGCGCAUUAAAGACAAACCGAUUGGUUGUCACUCCGCAUGUGGGAAUACUUGACGGAAAAUGUUUCCACAAGAAAGAAAUUUUUAUACAUAUCAGGCUGCAGGCACCAGUUGUAACUGGAAACUGAGACACAUUACAGAAUGCAAGGAAAUUCAAAUACCAAUUUAUUUUUCUUGUUUGGUGCAUUCAUCAUACAGAACCGAUGCUGGGUGAUUAUUUCAACUUAUAUCACUGUAUUAAUAAACAGUCAUCAGGACCGCUACUUGUUUUGCUCUGGUGCCUGUGAUGGGAAAGUGAAUUUAUAUUCUGCAUUGCGCAUGGAGCUACUUAUGUGCUACCAGAUCACAACAAUGACAUUAGCUCGGAAUGUCAAUGCUGUCCGUUUCACCUCAGAUGGCUCCAGGAUCUUGGCUGCUACUACAGCUCGGCGGCUGGCUGUGGUGGAUGUAGAACGUGGUGAGCAGUUGGUUGCAUAUGACAAUUGUGCCUUCAGUGGACGUGAUCGCACAGGCCUAGCUGCAGAUCCAGCAUGUCCUCACAUGGCUGUUCUUGUCAAUGUUAAUGGAAGGGGCCUCACACUUCUUGACUUACGCAUGCCUCUUCCUUUGGAUUUUGUGUAUGAUUUACAUGGGAGUGUGGUGAGAGACCUUACAUUUCUGCAUACCUCUUGGCCAUGGGUGCGUGGCCAGCAAAGUGCCCUGGUGACUGCUGCUGCAGAGGGUACCAUCAAGGUGUCAACACUUGAUGGGCGAGUGCUACAUUCAUAUCAGGCAGGACACAGAGUAAAUUCUGUGAGUCCUACACCAGAACCUUUCAACCUUGCUGCUGAAGAUGGCUUUUACAGUGUGAUAAUGACAGGCGGCGAUGUAGUUUCUGCAUAUGUGCCUGAUGCAGGUAUUCAAGAAAUUUUAAAAGAACAUAAAGACCAACAAAUUUGGAAACUCAGGUACACAUCAAAUGGAAGCCAGUUAUUUACAGUCUGUGAAGGUGGCCUGGUGAGACGUUAUCGUCGUUACCCAGAUCAUCACGAGUUCCUAGGUGAAGUUUAUCAGCACAAGGGGGAUAUCCAAGACAUGGACAUUUCACCAUAUGAUGAAUAUUUAAUUACAGCAUCUAAGGACAGAUCAGUUGGUGUAUUGCGCCUGGGUGCUCCAAACCAUGGUUGGACAGAAUACAGUGAACUGACAUGAUAGUAAAUGCAUGUUGCCAGAAGGAACCACAUUCGAAGAAAUGGUAUUUGAAGCACCAAAAAUGAGGCAAACACAUGGAACCAGGUCAUUUCUGUAGCCGACGAAACAGCAUUGUAGAAUCGUACUUUCACUAGAUGACUGAAGCCAACACAGAAAAGUCAAAUAUCAUCUUAUAAACAUUUCACGGAAAACUAGCCCAUUCCAUCCAGUGACAUGAAGUUGAGAAAUCUUGCUCCAUGUGAAGAAUGUGGCCAAGGUUUUCUAAGUCUGAAUUCCAGACAAAUUUCCUGUUUGCAUUGGCUGAUCCUAGUUCCUGAAUUAUUGAUUCAAAUUGUUUUCAUACAUGUGCUACAAAACAGAACAUUUUUUGUGUGACUGUAACAUACAGACUUAAUGUUUGAAAAUUACUGGCAGUAUUUAGUGGUGAAUGAGGCUACCUCUUUUCAGAAGACAGGACUCUAGAGAAAGUGGAAUCAGUUGCCGGUCCAUGUCAAGCAGCCAAUAUUAUCACAGAAAACUGGUUUUAUACAAAAUUUAUGAAGAUAGAGGCUUAGUGGAAAAGAAAUUUGUGACAUAGAAAUUGUCAAUUUUUUAGAGAGAAUUUUCUAUUCAGAGACUGGUUAUACGGUGAUAGACAGUCUGUUACUGUGACACAGUAAUAGUACUCCAGUAACUUUUUUUACUGGUUUUUCAUAUCUUUCAUUCAGUCUCAUGCAUCAUAUAAAAUAUUUAUACGUGGAACAAGCAGCGUUGUACCUCAUUUUACGUACACUGUUUGAUACAGAGAAAUUUAUUAUAUUUUGCAGCUCAAUAUGCAAAUUCCUUAUCAUUGGUCUUUAGUGUCACAAGUUUUGUAUUUAAGAAAAUUGUGUGCAAUAUUUUCUCAUCAUUUGCUGCUAGUUUAUUGAUGCACUGACAUUUAAUCUCGUCCAUCAUUUAUAUCAGGUUUUUAGUACCUAUUCAUAUGAAUUACCUAUUGUAUAAUGACUUGGCAUACAAGCACCUUCAGUGAUUUUAUGUGUAAUUUAUGUUGUUUUCUGUCCAUUGGGCGAAUGUGGAAGAAAAUUACAUUCCACAGUAUUUAUCAGAAUUUGUGUGUCUACUAAUUAAAGAGAGAUUGUGUGUGUGUGUGUGUGUGUGUGUGUGUGUUUUAAUUGUCAGCUGUUGAUUAAUAAACUAUAACAUGGCUUA